CGUUCCCUCUGGCGGUAGGCCUAACACAUGCAAGUCGAACGGCAGCACAGUAAGAGCUUGCUCUUACGGGUGGCGAGUGGCGGACGGGUGAGGAAUACAUCGGAAUCUACUUUUUCGUGGGGGAUAACGUAGGGAAAAUUACGCUAAUACAGCAUACGUCCUACGGGUGAAAGCAGGGGAUCUUCGUACCUUGCGCUAUUGAAUGAGCCGAUGUCGGAUUAGCUAGUUGGCGGGGUAAAGGCCCACCAAGGCGACGAUCCGUAGCUGGUCUGAGAGGAUGAUCAGCCACACUGGAACUGAGACACGGUCCAGACUCCUACGGGAGGCAGCAGUGGGGAAUAUUGGACAAUGGGCGCAAGCCUGAUCCAGCCAUACCGCGUGGGUGAAGAAGGCCUUCGGGUUGUAAAGCCCUUUUGUUGGGAAAGAAAAUCAGCAGGUUAAUACCCCGCUGUUCUGACGGUACCCAAAGAAUAAGCACCGGCUAACUUCGUG
rnacentral:rRNA from 1 species